rnacentral:rRNA from 1 species
GACGGAGGUGGCAAACGUUGCUCGGAAUUACUGGGCUUAAAGGGCGUGUAGGCGGUCGGCUAAGUCGGGUGUGAAAUACUCCGGCCCAACCGGGGAAUUGCAUUCGAUACUGGCCGGCUAGAGUGCGAGAGGGGCAAGUGGAACUCCAGGUGUAGCGGUGAAAUGCGUAGAUAUCUGGAGGAACGCCGGUGGCGAAAGCGACUUGCUGGCUCGUAACUGACGCUGAGGCGCGAAAGCUAGGGGAGCAAAC